UGUACACAUUUCCUUUGAUUCUUGCUGCCACUCCUUCUAUGGAUUAAUUUAAUGUUGUCUUGUUGUUAGCGAAAGGUUAAAGGUCAUCCAGGCGUCAGAAGUGGAGUGUUAGCGAUUUACAGAAAAUGUUCAAGUCAGUUCUGUUCCACGUGGUCGACGCCAGCAAGCAGAAUGAAAUGACACGAUAAAAACACCAGGACAGAGUGGUUUUAAAAGUUAAGCAGAAGAAACACCCCGAGGCCUAAAUCCUGCUUUACAAAGUGGAUUUCAUGGCUCAGAGUUUAUCCGAGACACUUCACUCCUAAAGAGUGCACAUUCAUCAUUUUGGAUAAGCAGAUCCCAGUAUAGAAGAGGAGCAGUGCACGGUGGGAGAUGUCAACAUGUUCCUGAUGGACCCAACAGACCUUUCCUCGGCUGAGCUGGAGAUCAUGAUAGCAGAGCCUGGUUCCAGAGGCAAGGGCAUUGGGAUGGAGGUGACACACAUGAUGAUGCGCCACGGUGAGCAUCUGAUCCCAUCAUUCAGAAGGUUUUGAGCAAGAAGACGGAAGCUUAAAGUCACCAGGUAGAAGUUGAAAAUUUCCACACCUCUUGAAUUACUGCCCAUUUUUCUGCAAUUCAGUCUUGUGCUGUGUUGGAGAGUCAACCUGUGGUGAAGCAGGAAAUACCAUUUUUCUGAAUACAGUAUCAAAACUUCAACAAAGCCUCAAUUACCCAUCACUACUGACACUAGCUUUCAGUUAGUAGCCAAACUCCAUACUGGGAAGAGGCUGGGGUGGAUGGCUGCUCCAUAAAACAUGGGACUUUCCUCCAGGAGAGUGGUGGUCUUUUCCAGUGUGUAACAUGCUUCACCUGACCAAGUUGAUUUUGUUCCUAAACCUAAAAAAGUUUUCUGUGCCGCACAACACAGAAGCAAACCUGAAGAAAAACAUUUCAGAGGUGAAGAAGGGGCCAUCUUGUAAUCUGCUAUCCUGUUCUCAUAAUACAUCUGCAGUACAGGUGACACACUGAACAUAAGAAUGUAGUACUGUCUGCAGUAAGUGCACCUGCAGUUUCAGUUCUGUCAAACUACUGUUAUGUCAGUAAUGAACCUUUGUGCUUUUGUUGUUGUUUUUGCUAACAAAUGUGUCAGUGAUUCUCGAUUCUAAAUUAUCGUCACUCAACAAGACACUGACCUCUCUGGUACAGAUAGAAACUGUAGACAAGAAGUCCCUACAUUAGUGCUGAUGGGUGAAAACCUUGUCUUCCUGUCAGAACAGAGGCUUUCCAGUUUGCCACAUUCAGGUGUUGUUAAUGAAAUGUUUCAUCAGAUCAAGGCUGGAGUAUCUCUCCAGCAAAUACACAGGGUUUUCAUCUGAACUCAGGAGACUGAGGUGCUGUUUAAGAAUAGAAUAUUCAGGUCGAACAAAUCACUGCCUUAGGAGAAGUGAAGGUUUAUUUGAUAGGCAUAAAUAAAUAAAUAUUCCAGUCAUAAGCCAACAUGAAGACUUUGACUGAUGGAGUGGCAAAAAAACACACUGGAUGUUUUACAUGGACACUAAGUGGUUUUCAUCCAGCGGGACAUGAAAAUGCAUUGUCACUUUUUAUUCCCUUGUGUUGUAACUUUCCUACUACUGUCCUGUAGCACCGAGUUGAGAUCUGGGGGAUGUCAGUGGGAGACUGGAGACCAAUAUAAUUCAAUUUGCUGCAGCAGCCAACUGUGACUGGACACACUGAUGAAGAUGACAAUUAGAAAAGCAUUUAUGAUUUCACACAGUGAAAACAAGAACCCAGACAGAUCAGACAAUGUCACAGAAUCAAAUGUAUGGAAGUUCAGAAGUGACAAAACUGUUUUGGUGAAUCCAAAACAUAAACUGAGUAAUAAUCAGCCUGCAAGUCACAACUGAGGAGAGCACAGACACGUUUUUCACAGCUAAAAUGUCUAGUUGAUUACUUCCAUAGUUCAUAUUAGUUUUAUUUGUAUAGUGCCAAAUCGCAACAAAAAUCAUUUCAAAGUAUUUUACACAGAGAAAAACCCAACAAAUAAAUAAAUGGCAACAAUUUUGACAAUCAAUUAAUAGUUAUUUACCAAGCAAACAAAAUGUUUGGUGAUUCUGAAAAACCUUGAAAGGGCAUUUUCACUAAUUUGGACAUUUUAUUGAAUACUUUAAUUAAAAAUAGUCAGAAAACAGAAGUAAUUGCAGCCCCCGGUCAUUGUCUAUAAACAUACUAGCCAUUUUGCUAUACAUACAGUACAUCAUCUCUACAGAGCUGUUGUUCCCUUUUAUAUUUCUGGUUGUGUUUGGUCUUUGUGGGCUCUGUAGCAAAUAACUGAACCAGAAGGCUGCAUUGCAAUAUUGCAUGUACAGAAUUUUCUGCAUCAAGUUGAAGAAAUUCCUUGAUU